rnacentral:rRNA from 1 species
ACGAACGCUGGCGGCGUGGAUAAGACAUGCAAGUCGAACGAGAGAAUUGCUAGCUUGCUAAUAAUUCUCUAGUGGCGCACGGGUGAGUAACACGUGAGUAACCUGCCCCCGAGAGCGGGAUAGCCCUGGGAAACUGGGAUUAAUACCGCAUAGUAUCGAAAGAUUAAAGCAGCAAUGCGCUUGGGGAUGGGCUCGCGGCCUAUUAGUUAGUUGGUGAGGUAACGGCUCACCAAGGCGAUGACGGGUAGCCGGUCUGAGAGGAUGUCCGGCCACACUGGAACUGAGACACGGUCCAGACACCUACGGGUGGCAGCAGUCGAGAAUCAUUCACAAUGGGGGAAACCCUGAUGGUGCGACGCCGCGUGGGGGAAUGAAGGUCUUCGGAUUGUAAACCCCUGUCAUGUGGGAGCAAAUUAAAAAGAUAGUACCACAAGAGGAAGAGACGGCUAACUCUGUGCCAGCAGCCGCGGUAAUACAGAGGUCUCAAGCGUUGUUCGGAAUCACUGGGCGUAAAGCGUGCGUAGGCUGUUUCGUAAGUCGUGUGUGAAAGGCGCGGGCUCAACCCGCGGACGGCACAUGAUACUGCGAGACUAGAGUAAUGGAGGGGGAACCGGAAUUCUCGGUGUAGCAGUGAAAUGCGUAGAUAUCGAGAGGAACACUCGUGGCGAAGGCGGGUUCCUGGACAUUAACUGACGCUGAGGCACGAAGGCCAGGGGAGCGAAAGGGAUUAGAUACCCCUGUAGUCCUGGCAGUAAACGGUGCACGCUUGGUGUGCGGGGAAUCGACCCCCUGCGUGCCGGAGCUAACGCGUUAAGCGUGCCGCCUGGGGAGUACGGUCGCAAGAUUAAAACUCAAAGAAAUUGACGGGGAUCCGCACAAGCGGUGGAGUAUGUGGCUUAAUUCGAUGCAACGCGAAGAACCUUACCUGGGCUUGACAUGUAAUGAACAACAUGUGAAAGCAUGCGACUCUUCGGAGGCGUUACACAGGUGCUGCAUGGCCGUCGUCAGCUCGUGUCGUGAGAUGUUUGGUUAAGUCCAGCAACGAGCGCAACCCCUGUUGCCAGUUACCAGCACGUGAAGGUGGGGACUCUGGCGAGACUGCCCAGAUCAACUGGGAGGAAGGUGGGGACGACGUCAGGUCAGUAUGGCCCUUAUGCCCAGGGCUGCACACGUACUACAAUGCCCAGUACAGAGGGGGCCGAAGCCGCGAGGCGGAGGAAAUCCUGAAAACUGGGCCCAGUUCGGACUGUAGGCUGCAACCCGCCUACACGAAGCCGGAAUCGCUAGUAAUGGCGCAUCAGCUACGGCGCCGUGAAUACGUUCCCGGGUCUUGUACACACCGCCCGUCACAUCAUGGAAGCCGGUCGCACCCGAAGUAUCUGAAGCCAACCGCAAGGAGGCAGGGUCCUAAGGUGAGACUGGUAACUGGGAUG